CUCUUGUGGCCAUGAAAUUCGAGAUUGAGUGAGGAAUGUGGUAAUAUAACCUUCAAUUGGGCCAUCACUUCACUGUCGGUGCACUGAGUUUUGGAUUCUUAUCACCUCUUAUUUGCAGAAGCAAAUUGACAAAAGUGCCCUCUUUUGCUUGUGUCUCCUAUAUGCGAAAAUGCAGGUUUUCGGAGGGCAAUUUGUGGAGAAGACCACCAAGCCCGAGGCUGGGUUAGGUUAAUCUUUGUAUCGAGAAGAAAACAAGAACAUGGAAGGAACAGUG
rnacentral:misc_RNA from 1 species